GCGCCCGUCCUAGGGGAGUAGUCUCCCGCGAGCGCCCUGCUCGCCCGGUAUACGUCAACACACUUGCUCCGCAGAGCAUGGCGUAUACGACCCAAGGCCUUCACAGAGAGGCCUGCGGUUUGACAAGACCUAUGACACGCACAACCUAUACCCGGGGCGGGAAGGUCGUUCGUGUCAUAAGCCGUGUU
rnacentral:misc_RNA from 1 species